CCGGGAACCUGGUACGGUAUCCUCCGACCUCGCGCGGCUCUCGCGUUUCUUAGUGGCUGCGUUGUCCGAUGUUGCUUUUUACUAGUGUGACGGCGUUCGUGUUCUUGUUUUGCUGUUUUUAGGAAGUUUGUCCAGUGCGGUUUUUCUGGUGGCAGGCCCUACGGUAAGGAUUCGAUUACCAAUUUGUGUGCGAUUUCUGCAGUGACUGGCCUAAGUUAGCGUCACAUUGCGUGCAGAGUGAAUUUCGUACGUAGGUUAUGUUCAAUUUUGUCUGGAUCACAGACUCUCUGAUAAUCUGAUCUCUUACUGCCCGGUCCAAAUUCUGGGCAUGACAAAUUGCUUGUUAAGUCUGGUCGUAUUUGUCAAGGAAUUCUAGCGGCUCAUUUUUGCUGCGAUGUUCGCUUUGAUGAUUCGAAGUUUGAUACGUAGGAGCUGGGAUUGUUGCCAUACCUGCCGUGACACGAGAAUCUGGAUUUAUAGCUUCCGCAGUUACCUGUGUUUUUUGUUGGAUCUUCAUGGUUGCAACAGGGCUGCUCAUUGCUGAAGUCAAUGUGAACACAAUCUGUGAACUGGGUUCUGGUGGUGUAUCGCUGGUAUCAAUAGCCAUGAGAACUAUAGGGAAGUUUGGAGUGCAAGUCGCUUGGUAAAGAAUUUCUUUGGCUACUCUUUCGUUGGCCGUACAUUUUCAUUUAUUAUGCCCUCCUCGUUGCUUAUGUGGCUCGUUCUUCAGAUAUUUUAACAAAUUCCCUCGACAUUCCGCUGUGUUGAUGGGCAGCAUUAUGGUUGCAGAUGGGACUGCGCUACCCUGUUCUCACUGGUAAUGGGGGGAAUCUGCUAUUUUGGCAGGUUGGUGUAGCUUUAUGAUUUAAUUUCUUCAAGUAACUUGUCUGUUGGCCAGACAUGAUAAUCUGGAAUGCUUAACAUUGAUGUUAACUAUAAGAAGGUCCCUCCUGUUCAAACUGAUCUUUGGAUGGAAGAUACCAAAAAAAAAGACUUGUUCAUCAUCAAGUCCACUGACAAGCAUAUGUUAUUUCUUGUUAUCUUAGCCAUAUGAUCAUGCCUGCAUAGCCUGAAAAGAAUGCUUGAUUUACAGACAAAUCUCGACUUUGUUCAUUACCAGUCUCCUUUGCGAUAUGUGCAUGCGUUUUAAUUGCUUCCAUGUACUCUAGUUGGCUCAUUUUAUCUGCCAAAUGAUAGACCUACCUUGACAUCGCCUAAAAUUAUAUGGUCUCACUUAAGAUCCAAGUCAGUUGCACUUUAUAAGUGUUUGUGUGGUUUGUCAUUACUGGGUAGAUUUUAGAGAGAUUAUGGAGAAUUUUCUAUAUAAACAUUGUAGCCACCGCUUGGAUGAAUGAAGUGACUCUAAUCAUGCAUUGGAAUUAAAGUCAUGUGUUGCAUCCCAACAAUUACUAUUUGUAUGUU